GGUGAAAAGCACCCCGGAAGGGGAGUGAAAUAGAACCUGAAACCGUGUGCUUACAAGUAGUCAGAGCCCGUUAAUGGGUGAUGGCGUGCCUUUUGUAGAAUGAACCGGCGAGUUACGAUUUGAUGCAAGGUUAAGCAGUAAAUGUGGAGCCGUAGCGAAAGCGAGUCUGAAUAGGGCGUUUAGUAUUUGGUCGUAGACCCGAAACCAGGUGAUCUACCCUUGGUCAGGUUGAAGUUCAGGUAACACUGAAUGGAGGACCGAACCGACUUACGUUGAAAAGUGAGCGGAUGAACUGAGGGUAGCGGAGAAAUUCCAAUCGAACCUGGAGAUAGCUGGUUCUCUCCGAAAUAGCUUUAGGGCUAGCCUCAAGUGAUGAUUAUUGGAGGUAGAGCACUGUUUGGACGAGGGGCCCCUCUCGGGUUACCGAAUUCAGACAAACUCCGAAUGCCAAUUAAUUUAACUUGGGAGUCAGAACAUGGGUGAUAAGGUCCGUGUUCGAAAGGGAAACAGCCCAGACCACCAGCUAAGGUCCCAAAAUAUAUGUUAAGUGGAAAAGGAUGUGGCGUUGCCCAGACAACUAGGAUGUUGGCUUAGAAGCAGCCAUCAUUUAAAGAGUGCGUAAUAGCUCACUAGUCGAGUGACACUGCGCCGAAAAUGUACCGGGGCUAAACAUAUUACCGAAGCUGUGGAUUGUCCUUUGGACAAUGGUAGGAGAGCGUUCUAAGGGCGUUGAAGCAUGAUCGUAAGGACAUGUGGAGCGCUUAGAAGUGAGAAUGCCGGUGUGAGUAGCGAAAGACGGGUGAGAAUCCCGUCCACCGAUUGACUAAGGUUUCCAGAGGAAGGCUCGUCCGCUCUGGGUUAGUCGGGUCCUAAGCUGAGGCCGACAGGCGUAGGCGAUGGAUAACAGGUUGAUAUUCCUGUACCACCUAUAAUCGUUUUAAUCGAUGGGGGGACGCAGUAGGAUAGGCGAAGCGUGCGAUUGGAUUGCACGUCUAAGCAGUAAGGCUGAGUAUUAGGCAAAUCCGGUACUCAUUAAGGCUGAGCUGUGAUGGGGAGAAGACAUUGUGUCUUCGAGUCGUUGAUUUCACACUGCCGAGAAAAGCCUCUAGAUAGAAAAUAGGUGCCCGUACCGCAAACCGACACAGGUAGUCAAGAUGAGAAUUCUAAGGUGAGCGAGCGAACUCUCGUUAAGGAACUCGGCAAAAUGACCCCGUAACUUCGGGAGAAGGGGUGCUCUUUAGGGUUAACGCCCAGAAGAGCCGCAGUGAAUAGGCCCAAGCGACUGUUUAUCAAAAACACAGGUCUCUGCUAAACCGUAAGGUGAUGUAUAGGGGCUGACGCCUGCCCGGUGCUGGAAGGUUAAGAGGAGUGGUUAGCUUCUGCGAAGCUACGAAUCGAAGCCCCAGUAAACGGCGGCCGUAACUAUAACGGUCCUAAGGUAGCGAAAUUCCUUGUCGGGUAAGUUCCGACCCGCACGAAAGGCGUAACGAUUUGGGCACUGUCUCAACGAGAGACUCGGUGAAAUCAUAGUACCUGUGAAGAUGCAGGUUACCCGCGACAGGACGGAAAGACCCCGUGGAGCUUUACUGUAGCCUGAUAUUGAAAUUCGGCACAGCUUGUACAGGAUAGGUAGGAGCCUUUGAAACGUGAGCGCUAGCUUACGUGGAGGCGCUGGUGGGAUACUACCCUAGCUGUGUUGGCUUUCUAACCCGCACCACUUAUCGUGGUGGGAGACAGUGUCAGGCGGGCAGUUUGACUGGGGCGGUCGCCUCCUAAAAGGUAACGGAGGCGCUCAAAGGUUCCCUCAGAAUGGUUGGAAAUCAUUCAUAGAGUGUAAAGGCAUAAGGGAGCUUGACUGCGAGACCUACAAGUCGAGCAGGGUCGAAAGACGGACUUAGUGAUCCGGUGGUUCCGCAUGGAAGGGCCAUCGCUCAACGGAUAAAAGCUACCCCG
rnacentral:rRNA from 1 species